AGUGAACGCUGGCGGUAGGCCUAACACAUGCAAGUCGAACGGCAGCACAGUAAGAGCUUGCUCUUACGGGUGGCGAGUGGCGGACGGGUGAGGAAUACAUCGGAAUCUACUUUUUCGUGGGGGAUAACGUAGGGAAACUUACGCUAAUACCGCAUACGACCUACGGGUGAAAGCAGGGGAUCUUCGGACCUUGCGCGAUUGAAUGAGCCGAUGUCGGAUUAGCUAGUUGGCGGGGUAAAGGCCCACCAAGGCGACGAUCCGUAGCUGGUCUGAGAGGAUGAUCAGCCACACUGGAACUGAGACACGGUCCAGUCUCCUACGGGAGGCAGCAGUGGGGAAUAUUGGACAAUGGGCGCAAGCCUGAUCCAGCCAUACCGCGUGGGUGAAGAAGGCCUUCGGGUUGUAAAGCCCUUUUGUUGGGAAAGAAAAGCAGCAGGUUAAUACCCCGCUGUUCUGACGGUACCCAAAAAAUAAGCACCGGCUAACUUCGUG
rnacentral:rRNA from 1 species